GAUGAACGCUAGCGGCAGGCUUAACACAUGCAAGUCGAGGGGUAUAGUUCUUCGGAACUAGAGACCGGCGCACGGGUGCGUAACGCGUAUGCAAUCUACCUUUUGCAGAGGGAUAGCCCAGAGAAAUUUGGAUUAAUACCUCAUAGUAUAGCAGUUUCGCAUGAAACCACUAUUAAAGUCACAACGGCAAAAGAUGAGCAUGCGUCCCAUUAGCUAGUUGGUAAGGUAACGGCUUACCAAGGCUACGAUGGGUAGGGGUCCUGAGAGGGAGAUCCCCCACACUGGUACUGAGACACGGACCAGACUCCUACGGGAGGCAGCAGUGAGGAAUAUUGGACAAUGGGCGCAAGCCUGAUCCAGCCAUGCCCGCGUGCAGGAUGACGGUCCUAUGGAUUGUAAACNGCUUUUGACAGGAAGAAACACUCCCUCGUGGAGGGAGCUUGACGGUACUGUAAGAAUAAGGAUCGGCUAACUCCGUGCCAGC
rnacentral:rRNA from 1 species